rnacentral:rRNA from 1 species
CCCUACGGGGGCAGCAGUGGGGAAUAUUGCACAAUGGGGGAAACCCUGAUGCGGCGACGCCGCGUGAGUGAAGAAGUAUUUCGGUAUGUAAAGCUCUAUCAGCAGGGAAGAAGAAAGACGGUACCUGACUAAGAAGCCCCGGCUAACUACGUGCCAGCAGCCGCGGUAAUACGUAGGGGGCAAGCGUUAUCCGGAUUUACUGGGUGUAAAGGGAGCGUAGACGGCUGUGCAAGUCUGAAGUGAAAGCCCAGGGCUCAACCCUGGGACUGCAUUGGAAACUGUCGAGCUAGAGUGUCGGAGGGGUA